GAAAAGACACAGCCUACCCGAAGCGGGUUUCCUGCUUUGGCGGCAAAGGUGAAAAGGUGGGGUAAGAGCCCACCAGUACCGUCGGCGACGAUGGUAGCUUGGUAAACCCUACCCGGAGCAAGAUCAAAUAGAAAAGUGCUUGAGGGCGGCCCGCCCGAUGCUUUCGGGUUGAUUGCUUGAGCCUGUCGGCAACGUCAGGCCUAGAUUGAUGACUGCCGCCUCCUCGGAGGGACAGAACCCGGCUUACAGGUCUACUUCGGCC
rnacentral:RNase_P_RNA from 1 species